AACGAACGCUGGCGGCAUGCCUAACACGUGCAAGUCGAACGAGACCUUCGGGUCUAGUGGCGCACGGGUGCGUAACGCGUGGGAACCUGCCCUUAGGUUCGGAAUAACUCCCCGAAAGGGGUGCUAAUGCCGGAUAAUGUCUUCGGACCAAAGAUUUAUCGCCUUUGGAUGGGCCCGCGUUGGAUUAGCUAGUUGGUAGGGUAAAAGCCUACCAAGGCGACGAUCCAUAGCUGGUCUGAGAGGAUGAUCAGCCACGCUGGGACUGAGACACGGCCCAGACUCCUACGGGAGGCAGCAGUGGGGAAUAUUGGACAAUGGGCGAAAGCCUGAUCCAGCAAUGCCGCGUGAGUGAUGAAGGCCUUAGGGUUGUAAAGCUCUUUUACCCGGGAUGAUAAUGACAGUACCGGGAGAAUAAGCUCCGGCUAACUCCGUG
rnacentral:rRNA from 1 species